CCUUUUCUGUAUUACAUUUAAGGUCCACACUCAAAAUACCUUUAUCAUGAUUUUAGUCCAAAGUGCCAAGUAAUAAGACUACUUUUACUGAAUUUAAUUUGGGAAGAAUGAGAGACGGCCAAUGGGGAGUGGCAGACAAAUAUGAAAGAAAAGGACUGCGACCCAUUAAGUCCUGGAUGAGCAGUACCUAAAACAGAGGGUAAAAAUCCAAAGGAUUGAGACGUUACGAGGUGAUCAGAUAGCAAAUGAAACGCCCUGAAAGAACAAGGAACACUAUCCUUGGAGCAAACUCUAAGCCCAUGUGACAAGGCAGAACCCAAUCAAUUUCAACAGAUUGGUAGCAAUAUAUAGUAGGGUCAUUUUGGUUGACAACUGAGCCACAUCAAGACUCACCAUUUUUUGUUUAUUUUACCCACAGUUCUUAUAGAAAGCAAAUGAGUAAUUGUGAGAAAUGAAUGCAAAGUCUUUCUUUGACAAAGUAAGCAUGUCAUAAACCUAAGUUGGAGUCUUAUCUUUGUUUUGACUGAAGGCUUUACCAUGUCAAAUAGACAUGUAGAAGCAAAAUCAAGAAAAGGCUGGAUCUAGAGCCUCUAUGGGGUGCUAUAUAAAAGUCUCAGCACUUGGUUGACGAGUUGAUAUUCUAAUUUAUUAUCUGCACUUCUAGUUUACUUCAUAGGAUAUCAUCACUCAGAGAAGGCACACAAUCCAAAUCUCAAACACCUUUUGCAUCUUAGAAAAGACUACUGUAUAUUCCACAAAGCAUACCUCAUGCUGGCAUUCUCUUUCCUUAAAAUUAAUGAUUGCGUUCUAAGGCUUGCUGUGAAAUCCAAACUCCUCAAAAUGAUGUGGAGAGUCUUGUUGAUGAAAAAGGGGCUUUAUAUGUUAAUGAGACUUUAUUUUCUUUAUUUCUUGACAACAUAUUCCCUCAGUGGUUUGUAAAUGGCUUAGAUUCCCUUUACAAAAUAUUCAUUUAUGACAAUGCUGUUCUGUCUGACACUUUUCCUGAUUUGUUCAUUGGCCUCUCCUACUUUUAAUUCUGGUUUUGUCUCAAGUUUUAAGGGAUCCAGAAAACCUUUACCUUACAUCGUCAGUCUCUUGUCUCAUCAGUUAUACCAUAGUGACACCAAUGCCUUUCUUUUUUCCUGACUCCCUCUCUGUUUCAUCGGGUGAUCAGUGAGUUGAGGAAGACUCCAUGUAGUCUGACUUAUUUUUAUCCCCCUUUACCUAGAGAAAAAAGCUGUAUGAUCACUACAUUUUGGUGAGUGAAACAUCAAAAGAAUUGGGAUAAAUCUUUUAGAAAGCUAUGUUUGUGUCCUGUGAAUGUAAAUAUAUUGAAACCCAAUCACCCAUAUAGUGAUAGUAGGAGGUGGGACUACUGAGGAGAUUAAACUGUGGGAGCAAAGGAGCAGCCAUGAAUACAUUUCAGAAAGAAGGACUGGAUUGUAUUGCUUAUAUAACAACACAGAUAGGAAAUAUUAAUCAUGGGGAACAGCCAUGAUAUCCAUUGCACCUGGUUCUUAGAUAUCCCAGUUUGGAUUUUCCAACUCUGAGAACUAAACAUGGAUUGAUUUUAAGCUACAUGCAUAUGACAUUUAGUUAUAUCUAGUUGAGACAACUUCAAUGGAAAGAGUGAUUGACAUAGACAUAGUACAAUCACUGUAAUGUCUCAUGGAGGUGGCAAUAAUCACUUCUCUAUGGAAGGAAAAGGUCACAAUAAGAAGAAGGCAAGUUGCCUACAAAGCCUAAACUCUGCUUCUAACUGUUGAUUCUGGAGCUCUCUCAUAGGUAAUGCUAUCUUAAAUUUUGUUAUUCUAUGGGUAAGGAUGUAUAUAUGUGUUAUAUGCCUUUUAUUCAAGAGAUUAUUAUUGAUUUUUAUAAAUUUAAUACAGGGACUGGCAGGAUCCAUGUACACAGUAGGCAUUUUAUUGUCAUGUACAUGAUAAACAUUUUACUGGAUGAAAUAGCCUUGGAAAGAAGGCUGUGCAAAAAGUAUUACAAUUAAAAACCAAAUGAUGUGACAUCUAUUACCUAUUCUUUCUACAUAC
rnacentral:lncRNA from 1 species